rnacentral:rRNA from 1 species
UGCUUAACACAUGCAAGUCGAGCGGUAAGGCCCUUCGGGGUACACGAGCGGCGAACGGGUGAGUAACACGUGGGUGAUCUGCCUUGCACUCUGGGAUAAGCCUGGGAAACUGGGUCUAAUACCGGAUAUGACCUUUGGUUGCAUGAUCAGGGGUGGAAAGAUUUAUCGGUGCAAGAUGAGCCCGCGGCCUAUCAGCUUGUUGGUGGGGUAAUGGCCUACCAAGGCGACGACGGGUAGCCGGCCUGAGAGGGCGACCGGCCACACUGGGACUGAGACACGGCCCAGACUCCUACGGGAGGCAGCAGUGGGGAAUAUUGCACAAUGGGCGGAAGCCUGAUGCAGCGACGCCGCGUGAGGGAUGACGGCCUUCGGGUUGUAAACCUCUUUCGACUCCGACGAAGCGAAAGUGACGGUAGGAGUAUAAGAAGCACCGGCCAACUACGUGCCAGCAGCCGCGGUAAUACGUAGGGUGCGAGCGUUGUCCGGAAUUACUGGGCGUAAAGAGCUUGUAGGCGGCUUGUCGCGUCGAUCGUGAAAACUCGGGGCUCAACCCCGAGCUUGCGGUCGAUACGGGCAGGCUUGAGUACUUCAGGGGAGACUGGAAUUCCUGGUGUAGCGGUGAAAUGCGCAGAUAUCAGGAGGAACACCGGUGGCGAAGGCGGGUCUCUGGGAAGUAACUGACGCUGAGAAGCGAAAGCGUGGGUAGC